GUAAUACCCAGAGGAGUACAAGACACACCAAAACACAUUGCCUCUUCAUUUCCUUUCAGGUUGGGAUACUAGGAGCAUCCAACUUGACCUUCUCAGAGCUAUGAAGACCAUAUACUUUUUCUAUAUUGUGUUUGCUCUGCUACUCAUUCCCAAACCAGGAUUCACUGAUGUGUCAGAUGAAGAAUCAUGCCUGUAUGGCGAUGCGGCAGGACACUGUGUGUUGAAGGAAUGUCCUUAUCACUAUGCAGACAUUGGAAGUUGUGGUGGAAACAUUCGUUGCUGUUAUAACGGUAAUGAUCCUGUAAGAAAUGAAAGGCAAUGUAAGAGGCUCAAUGGGUCUUGUUUCGAAUCCCGAUGUCGUCAUCAAUCUUAUUCUAUAGGAAAAUGUGCAGCGAAUGUUGAAUGUUGCCA